rnacentral:tRNA from 1 species
GGAGAUUUAGCUCAGUGGUAGAGCACUUGCCUAGCAAGCACAAGGCCCUGGGUUCGGUCCUCAGCUCUG